CAUACAUAUACAGUAUAAGUUUUAAAUAAUUUUAAACAAACUGUUUAAUACUGUACUCACCAAUGAUGAUUGUGAAGCUUGGUUGAGGCAGGGGCGUAGUGGGGUCGGGGCACAGGGGCUUGCCCUGUUCCACCCGCCCGCUUCCCAACAAGAGCACCAGGCAGGCGAAACAGGGCCAGGCCUGCGCCUCCACCCCGCUUCCCAACAGGAGCACCAGGCAGGCGAAACAGGCCAGGCUUGCGCCUCCACCCCGCUUCCCGGCAGGAGCACCAGGCAGGCAGAACGGGGCAAGGCCCCAUGCCCCGACCCUGUUCCCCAGCUGGAAUGCCCGGCGGAGCGGCACAAGACCCCGGUCCCCGACCCGCUCCCCCAGCAGGAGCACCAGGCAGGGGAAGCCAAACAGAGUUAUAAGGAAACAUUGCAGGACUUUAAAGGAGUAUGUUCUCUAACAGGUCAGCAACCUAAUAAUGAAACUACUUAACUGGGAUGACGUUAAGUGAGGAGUUACUGUAUGUAAGUGUAUACAAUAAACCCAUGAAACAUUUAAAAACUAGUUCAAAGAAUGCUUUUACAGUAACAGAUUAACACUCUCCAGGCAUCCUCUAAUCAUUUUUACAGUCAUAGUAAACAAAAACUGGAAAUAACCAGAACUUGCAGUUGGAAAUCUAAUUUCCAAAAGCAUUAACACACACGGUGUCCCUAGACCAAGGUGCAAAGAAGACCAAACAUUGCCAAUAUAAACAAUUGAUUAUUUCAGCCAAAUAUCUGGGGAGGGAGGGAUGCAUUUGUUUUUUUACACAAUUCUCCAUUUUUAGUAUGAAUAGGAUGAAUAUCUGAUUUGGAGUUGAAUUGUAUACAUUUAGUGUAUUUGUGAAUUAUUGAAGAUCACAGAUAAUGCCUUUAAUUUUCAAAUACAUAGCAAAUUAAGAAAUGUCAUUCUGUUCUAUCAUAUCACAGCAUCUGGACUCUUGUUACUUUUCACUGCUGAGUCAGGUAGGGGUUGCAAUUUAACUCUAAGGUAGCUAAAUGUUUUAUGUAUAUACAAUACAUUUGCAUACACAAUUAAGUAUUUUUGUGCAUAGGUGGUUAUUUCUAAAGUUAAUGUGUUAUGGUUUAUUUUUUCAUUGUUUGAUAUAUUUGAAAAUAUGCAAGUAUUUUGUAUUGGAGGGAGGGACUUCGUGUCGCAGGGUGAGGGUUUAGUUUGAGCUGGGCUCAAAUACUUGAUCACCCAUAUCUUGCUGUUAAAAAUAAAUUCUGGUUUCUUCACUUAUAA